rnacentral:misc_RNA from 1 species
CAAACACUCAAAAAACCUU